UACAGAGGGUGCAAGCGUUGUUCGGAAUUAUUGGGCGUAAAGGGCGCGUAGGCGGUGCGGUAAGUCUGUAGUGAAAUCUCUGGGCUCAACUCAGAGUCUGCUGCAGAAACUGCCGUGCUUGAGUGUGGGAGAGGUGAGUGGAAUUCCCGGUGUAGCGGUGAAAUGCGUAGAGAUCGGGAGGAACAUCAGUUGCGAAGGCGGCUCUCUGGACCAGCACUGACACUGAGGCACGAAAGCGUGGGGAGCAAACAGG
rnacentral:rRNA from 1 species